rfam:Salmo salar isolate Sally breed double haploid chromosome ssa09, whole genome shotgun sequence.
UGCAUUCACUACUGUAAGUCGCUCUGGAUAAGAGCGUCUGCUAUAUGACUAAAA